CUUCUAAAGCUAAAUAUUACCAUGAGACCGAUAGCGAACAAGUACCGUGAGGGAAAGUUGAAAAGCACACUGAAUAGAGAGUCAAAUAGUACGUGAAACUGUCUAGGGGUUCAAACCUG
rnacentral:ncRNA from 1 species